UUUAUUUCGUUAAUUCCUUUUUCCUCCCCGAUUCCUUUCUCUCCUCUCCUUCAUUGCGCCGAACCCUUUUCCCCGAGUCCUCACCCCGCGAUUCGCCGCACCACCGCCGACCGCGAUGAACCGCACAGCCGGCGACUUCUUCUCCCUCGAGCUAUAGCCGCUGGCUCUUCUUCUCGCAAGGGCACCACACAGCUAGCCUUUCCUCCCUCACGCGAGCACCGGAGACAAGCCACGGUACCUGAUCGCACGGCGUUGCUCAGGCUGCCGCUCGCCGGAGCUUUCUAUUCCUCAGCCUCUCAUCAACAUCUCUGCUAGAUACACACCUUCUCAGACCUUUGCUCCGCACAGCCCGAUCUUCAGCGAAAGGGUGGGAAAGCCGAGCCCUAGCUGCCUAUUGUGGAUGCCGAUCUCCCUCUUCAUCACUGGAUUUGGAUCAAGGAGAUCCACUGCUUCCCUCAUCAUCAAAUCUUGGACCAAGGAGGUCCAACACCAUCUCCUUCCACCAAAGAAAUAUUCUACCUUCUCGGAGCCCUGCCCUAGCCUAGGCCAGCAACACGCUGCUAUUCAUUACCGCCUUUGCUCAUGAUCACAGCAGUAGCAUUCAUCCGAGAGGAGUUUAUGGAAUUGGAUUGAUUCUUGAAGACAGUGGCUUCGCUUGGCUUCGCUCUUCACAUCGCCGAUGGUUUGUGGCUGACUCCGUCUGAUCCGUGUCAAUUUCUGGUUGUUGAAGAAGAAGAGGAUUUCGAUAUGAGAUGAGCGUCUUGACGUGAGAUCGUUUGAUAUGAUCGACAUAUAAAGGCGGGUAUUUCUUGCGUUAUUUGUAUUUUGGAUUUUGUACUUGUUUAUGUAUUUGUAUUGUCUUGUAUUGGGUUUGAUAUUAUUGUGUCAAGCCGAGCCAGCUCGCAGUUAGUUGA